rnacentral:rRNA from 1 species
CACGGGCUAAACCUCCUUGUCAAUGCUUGAUCUCAGAAGCUAAGCAGGGCUGGGCUUCGUUAAUACUUGGAUGGGAGACGGAUGGGAAUACAAGGUGCCACAGUGC